UAGUUCCUACGGGGCGCAGCAGUGGGGGAUAUUGCACAAUGGGGGAAACCCUGAUGCAGCGACGCCGCGUGUGGGAAGACGGUCCUCUGGAUUGUAAACCACUGUCCCCAGGGACGAAAAUGACGGUACCUGGGGAGGAAGCUCCGGCUAACUACGUGCCAGCAGCCGCGGUAAUACGUAGGGAGCGAGCGUUGUCCGGAAUUACUGGGUGUAAAGGGAGCGUAGGCGGGG
rnacentral:rRNA from 1 species